rnacentral:rRNA from 1 species
CACUACGGCCACACCGGCCUGAGUACGCCUGAUCUCGUCCGAUCUCGGAAGCUAAGCAGGGUCGGGCCUGGUUAGUACUUGGAUGGGAGACCGCCUGGGAAUACCAGGUGCUGUAAGCU